GGGGAAUAUUGGCCAAUGUGCGCAAGCCGGAUCCAGCCAUGCCGCGUGUGUGAAGAAGACCUUCGGGUUGUAAAGCCCUUUUGUUGGGAAAGGAAUCCAGCUGGCUAAUACCCGGUUGGAUUGACGGUACCCAAAGAAUAAGCACCGGCUAACUUCGUCCCAGCAGCCGCGGUAAUACGAAGGGUGCAAGCGUUACUCGGAAUUACUGGGCGUAAAGCGUGCGUAGGUGGUCGUUUAAGUCCGUUGUGAAAGCCCUGGGCUCAACCUGGGAACUGCAGUGGAUACUGGACGGCUAGAGUGUGGUAGAGGGUAGCGGAAUUCCUGGUGUAGCAGUGAAAUGCGUAGAGAUCAGGAGGAACAUCCAUGGCGAAGGCAGCUACCUGGACCAACACUGACACUGAGGCACGAAAGCGUGGGGAGCAAACA
rnacentral:rRNA from 1 species